UUGUCAUUAGUUGCCAUCAUUUGGUUGGGCACUCUAAUGAGACUGCCGGUGAACCAAACCGGGAAGGAAGGUGGGGAUGACGUCAAGUCCUCAUCGGCCCUUAUGGGUAGGGCUUCACACGUCAUACAAUGGUCGGUACAGAGGGUUGCCAACCCGCGAGGGGGAGCUAAUCCCACAAAGCCGAUCGUAGUCCGGAUCGCAGUCUGCAACUCGACUGCGUGAAGUCGGAAUCGCUAGUAAUCGUGGAUCAGCAUGUCACGGUGAAUACGUUCCCGGGUCUU
rnacentral:rRNA from 1 species